rnacentral:rRNA from 1 species
GUGCCAGCCGCCGCGGUAAUACCGGCAGCCCGAGUGAUGUCCAAUAUUAUUGGGCCUAAAGCGUCCGUAGCUGGCCGCGCAAGUCCGUCGGGAAAUCCACCUGCCCAACGGGUGGGCGUCCGGUAGAAACUGGCCGGCUUGGAACCGGAAGGCUCAGAGAGUACGUCCGGGGUAGGAGUGAAAUCCCGUAAUCCCGGACGGACUACCGAUGGCGAAAGCACUCUGAGAAGACGGCUUCGACAGUGAGGGACGAAAGCUCGGGUCUCAAACCGGAUUAGAAACCCCUGUAGUCC